AAGGAAUGCUUCCAGGCUGUCACUGCCAGCAUCCAGAAAAGGACCUGACUAAUGCUUCCUUUGAGAAAAGCACCGUAAAGCAUGAUUGGCUCCAUUCUCCAACAGACAAAGUGGAUGUGGCAACCCCAGACCUUCCAACCUUUCAGCUGCAAGUUCAACAGGAAUAAAGACUUCUUCCCAGUGGUUUCUUCAAAAGCCCUCAGAUUAGCUGUUUGCCUAGCUUGUCACAUGCCACCCCAGAACCAAUCCCUAUGGCCAGAGAAAUGUAGCGUAUUGAUUGGUUUAGCCCUAGGUCACAUGACCCACCUCUGGAAAAGGGCUCAAUCCUCACUCAAACUGCUUUGGCUGAAGGCUUGGAAGAGAUGGAGCCAAGGAAAGUAGACACUGGGGAUGCAAAAAUAAAAGUUCAAUAAGUAUGCCUUUAAAUACGGACCAGAUACUGAAUAUUAAAAACCAGCACAUUCUGAAAAGAAGAAAUAUAAGCAAAAGAAAAAAAAAGUGGGAAAUAUGAGAUAGUAUUUAGAAUUAGUAAGCUAUCCAACUAAGGUCAAGUUCAAGAAUAUUUUAAGAGUUACUUAAAUAUAUAGAGAUAGCUAGGCAUGGUAACUUGUGCCUGUAAUUCCAGCUGCUCUGGAAGCCAAGGUGGGAGGAUUGUCUUAAGCCCGGGACUUCAAUGCUGCAGUGAGCUGUGAUUUCACCCUUGCAUUCCAGCCUGUGAAAUAAAGGAGACCCCAUCUCUAAGAAAAAGAAAAAGAAAUAAAUAUAUAAAAUUACUUCCCUGUUA
rnacentral:lncRNA from 1 species